AACGAACGUUAGCGGCGCGCCUAACACAUGCAAGUCGAACGCGACAGGGGCAACUCUGUUGAGUGGCGCACGGGUGAGUAACACGUAGGUAAUCUCCCCCCGAGUGGUGGAUAACCUUCCGAAAGGAGGGCUAAUACAGCAUAAGACAACGGCUUCGAAAGGAGCUGAGGUCAAAGCGGAGGAUCGCAAGACUUCGCGCUUGGGGAUGAGCCUGCGGCCCAUCGGGUAGUUGGCGGGGUAACAGCCCACCAAGCCUAAGACUGGUAGCUGGUCUGAGAGGAUGAUGAGCCACGCUGGAACUGAGACACGGUCCAGAAUCCUACGGGAGGCAGAAGUGGAGAAUCUUGCGCAAGGGACGAAAGUCUGACGCAGCGACGCCGCGGGGGUGAUGAAGGCCUUCGGGUUGUAAAGCCCUGUGGGGAGGGACGAAUAAGUUUCAGCUAAUACCUGAAGCGAUGACGGUACCUCCUUAGCAAGCACCGGCUAACUCUGUGCCAGCCGCCGCAGUAA
rnacentral:rRNA from 1 species